AGUUUGAUCCUGGCUCAGAUUGAACGCUGGCGGCAUGCCUUACACAUGCAAGUCGAACGGCAGCACGGGAGCAAUCCUGGUGGCGAGUGGCGAACGGGUGAGUAAUAUAUCGGAACGUGCCCAGUCGUGGGGGAUAACGCAGCGAAAGCUGUGCUAAUACCGCAUACGAUCUAUGGAUGAAAGCGGGGGAUCGCAAGACCUCGCGCGAUUGGAGCGGCCGAUAUCAGAUUAGGUAGUUGGUGGGGUAAAAGCCUACCAAGCCUUCGAUCUGUAGCUGGUCUGAGAGGACGACCAGCCACACUGGAACUGAGACACGGUCCAGACUCCUACGGGAGGCAGCAGUGGGGAAUUUUGGACAAUGGGCGCAAGCCUGAUCCAGCAAUGCCGCGUGCAGGAUGAAGGCCUUCGGGUUGUAAACUGCUUUUGUACGGAACGAAACGGUUCUUUUUAAUAAAGAGAGCUAAUGACGGUACCGUAAGAAUAAGCACCGGCUAACUACGUG
rnacentral:rRNA from 1 species